AUUGAACGCUGGCGGCAUGCUUUACACAUGCAAGUCGAACGGUAACAGGCCGCAAGGUGCUGACGAGUGGCGAACGGGUGAGUAAUGCAUCGGAACGUGCCCAGUCGUGGGGGAUAACGCAGCGAAAGCUGUGCUAAUGCCGCAUACGAUCUAUGGAUGAAAGCGGGGGACCGUAAGGCCUCGCGCGAUUGGAGCGGCCGAUGUCAGAUUAGGUAGUUGGUGGGGUAAAGGCCUACCAAGCCGACGAUCCGUAGCUGGUCUGAGAGGACGACCAGCCACACUGGGACUGAGACACGGCCCAGACUCCUACGGGAGGCAGCAGUGGGGAAUUUUGGACAAUGGGCGCAAGCCUGAUCCAGCAAUGCCGCGUGCAGGAAGAAGGCCUUCGGGUUGUAAACUGCUUUUGUACGGAACGAAACGGUCUGGGUUAAUACCCCGGGCUAAUGACGGUACCGUAAGAAUAAGCACCGGCUAACUACGUGCCAGCAGCCGCCGUAACAC
rnacentral:rRNA from 1 species